CCUACGGGUGGCAGCAGUGAGGAAUAUUGGUCAAUGGACGAGAGUCUGAACCAGCCAAGUAGCGUGAAGGAUGACUGCCCUAUGGGUUGUAAACUUCUUUUAUAUGGGAAUAAAAUGUUCCACGUGUGGGAUUUUGUAUGUACCAUAUGAAUAAGGAUCGGCUAACUCCGUGCCAGCAGCCGCGGUAAUACGGAGGAUCCGAGCGUUAUCCGGAUUUAUUGGGUUUAAAGGGAGCGUAGGUGGAUUGUUAAGUCAGUUGUGAAAGUUUGCGGCUCAACCGUAAAAUUGCAGUUGAAACUGGCAGUCUUGAGUACAGUAGAGGUGGGCGGAAUUCGUGGUGUAGCGGUGAAAUGCGUAGAUAUCACGAAGAACUCCGAUUGCGAAGGCAGUUCACUGGACUGCAACUGACACUGAGGCUCGAAAGUGUGGGUAUCAAACAGGAUUAGAUACCCUUGUAGUC
rnacentral:rRNA from 1 species